rnacentral:lncRNA from 1 species
AUUUAGUGAAAAGAACGUACAAAAGACAUGGAUUUAAGGAGUCUGAACUUAAAUCCAGUUCUGCCAUCUAUCAUUUGUAUGACCUUAUGCAAAUUAACCUCUCUGAGCCUCCAGUUCCUCAUUUGUAAAAUGAAGAUAAAAAUAGUAUUAUUUACUUCACAGAUUUAUGUCUGUAUUAAAUAAGGUAAUAUAAGCACAAAGGGAUUUGAAAACCAUAAGGACUACAUAGAUUAUUACCAUUGCACCAUUAAAAGUAAAUUUUUAUAAAACAUACUCUUGGGUUUUAUUUCAGUAUUGACUUUGAACAGAAAAGAGUGCUUAUGCUAUUCACAAGCAGUGAAGGCUAUUAUAAAUAUUAAUGUAAGAGGUCUAGAUAUUAAAUCACAUCCUACUGCUGAGAGAUUCUAACCUGCCUAAGAUUCUAACAUGUUAUCUCAAUUUCACUGAAAGAGCAGGAUGAAGGGAGGAAGAUAUAGCCAGCCAGAGAAGGGAGAAGAGGAGAAACAUCUGGAAAAUAUCAGUGUUGCAGAGCCUCCCGGAAACUGACCUCGCCACCGAAAGGGUGAAUGGGGUCAAAAUGGAAACAGCAUGAGAGGGGCCACAGAAGGGAUUCACCAGGAAGAAGAGGAAAGGUGGGGCUGAGGUGGCCAGGACAGCACGACAUCACAUCUGACCAAGGCAUCCUCAGCCUUCCUUCAGAAAAGCAGCAGAAGGAAAAAGCUGGUACCAUUCUAAGCUUCAUCAGUGGAGAGUACUGUAGAGACAUUACAGAAAGAAGCAGUUUUCCUUCCUGGUUCCGGUACACUCUUUCUGCAGGCUGCUGCAAACACGCAUGGCUCCUAGAGUAUCCACACCUUCUUCAGCAACUGGCUCCUGCUGAACAUGAUGGUCAGCACCUCCCAGCCUCCAGCAGCUUCCACUGGCAUCCCUCUCGGUUGAUUUUGCAGCAGAAUGCAUCCAGUGAAAGACCUCCACAUGAAUAGCUUUCCUUAGCAUCUUAGAGGGUAGAUUUCUAGCAAGUUCUGCCAGCAUAGCACCCCAGUGACUUCUCUGCCAGCCCAGGAGCCACAGCAGGCCAUGACCUCUCCAGCAAGGUCUGGAGCAGAGAGAAGCAUGUGUUUGGGUGCUCUAUCAGACCCACGGCCCACGGGUAGGGGCUGCUCCUUAUAUCUGCUAUUCCUCUGUUAUUUAAAGUUCUCUUUACUUCCUGUUAGCUAGUCCCCAUUAUAGUGAACUACUUCUCUUUUUCUUAACAGUUUUCUUUUGUAUUUUUUAAAAAUUGUGGCAAAAUACAUAUAGUAUAAAAUUUACCA